GACGAACGCUGGCGGCGUGCUUAACACAUGCAAGUCGAACGGUGAAGCGCCUUCCUUUUUGGUGGGUGUGGAUGAGUGGCGAACUGGUGAGUAACACGUGAGUCACCUGCCCCCUUCUGCUGGAUAACCGCAUGAAAGUGUUGCUAAUACGGGAUAUUCUGAGUCUGUCGCAUGAUGGGUCUGGGAGAGAUUUUGUUUCGGUGGGGGAUGGGCUCGCGGCCUAUCAGCUUGUUGGUGGGGUGACGGCCUACCAAGGCGGUGACGGGUAGCCGGCCUGGGAGGGUCGGCGGCACCAGAGGGGAUGCGAGGCGGCGACGACUCCGAGAGGAGGCAGCAGGGGAGAAUAGGGCACAAGGGGCGGAAGGAUGAUGCAGCGACGCGGGGGGGGUGAUGGAGUCCGGCGGGUUGUGAACUUCUUUCGGGAGUGAAGAAGGCCGGCCUCGUGUGUGGGUGGGUUGACGGUAGCUGGAGAAGAAGCGCCGGCUAACUACGUG
rnacentral:rRNA from 1 species